rnacentral:pre_miRNA from 1 species
GCACCUCACCGUCUUGUAUGGCUUUUUAUUCCUAUUUGAUUAUACAUCCUGCCUCAUAUAGGGAUUGAAGCCGUGCAAUACGCUGGGGUCC